UACGGGGGGUGCAAGCGUUGUUCGGAAUCAUUGGGCGUAAAGCGCGUGUAGGCGGCUUGGUAAGUCAGGUGUGAAAGCCCUGGGCUCAACCCAGGAAGUGCACUUGAUACUGUCUUGCUUGAGUACGGGAGAGGAGAGCGGAAUUCCUGGUGUAGAGGUGAAAUUCGUAGAUAUCAGGAGGAACACCGGUGGCGAAGGCGGCUUUCUGGCCCAAUACUGACGCUGAGACGCGAAAGCGUGGGGAGCAAACAGG
rnacentral:rRNA from 1 species